CAGAGAGAUACUAUAUAGGUACUGUUUUGGGUACCGAGGAUACAGAGGUUAUCACAGAAUACUGAGUAGAGUUCCCUGUGCUAGACACUAAUAUUUACUGGAAGUACUUACCAUACUAAGUACUAUAAUACAUGCAACAGUCCAGGGCAAUGCAGCUAAUACUAUCCUCAUUUUUUGGAGACAGAAGUUGAGUCUCAACAAUUUAAAGUCUUGCCUCACAAGUUUUUCAGAUGUUAAAACAACCACCAAAUGGAAGAAAUUAAGUACUUGAUGAUAGUGAUCAAGUAGCCCGAGGACCUACUGAUGCCUAAGGAUUGAUAAUGUCAACUGCCCUGUUACCUCACCAUCAACCAGAGCAUUGUGCAUGAGCUGAUCACAUACCCUCGGACACCCUUCCCCCACCUGGUCUUUAAAAAUGCUUUGCUGAAACCCGUGGGGGAGUUCAGGGUGUUUCUGAGUAGAAGCCACCUGUUCUCCUUGCAUGGCCCUGUA